AGCUCAGUUGGUUAGAGCGUCGGAUUGUGGUUCCGAAGGUCGUGGGUUCGAGCCCCAUC
rnacentral:tRNA from 1 species